rnacentral:rRNA from 1 species
CGGAACGUGCCUAGUAGUGGGGGAUAACUACUCGAAAGAGUAGCUAAUACCGCAUGAGAUCUACGGAUGAAAGCAGGGGACCUUCGGGCCUUGUGCUACUAGAGCGGCUGAUGGCAGAUUAGGUAGUUGGUGGGGUAAAGGCUUACCAAGCCUGCGAUCUGUAGCUGGUCUGAGAGGACGACCAGCCACACUGGGACUGAGACACGGCCCAGACUCCUACGGGAGGCAGCAGUGGGGAAUUUUGGACAAUGGGCGAAAGCCUGAUCCAGCAAUGCCGCGUGCAGGAUGAAGGCCCUCGGGUUGUAAACUGCUUUUGUACGGAACGAAAAGCCUGGGGCUAAUAUCCCCGGGUCAUGACGGUACCGUAAGAAUAAGCACCGGCUAACUACGUGCCAGCAGCCGCGGUAAUACGUAGGGUGCAAGCGUUAAUCGGAAUUACUGGGCGUAAAGCGUGCGCAGGCGGUUUUGUAAGACAGUGGUGAAAUCCCCGGGCUCAACCUGGGAACUGCCAUUGUGACUGCAAGGCUAGAGUGCGGCAGUGGGGGAUGGAAUUCCGCGU